GAUGAACGCUAGCUACAGGCUUAACACAUGCAAGUCGAGGGGUAGCAGGGUAGCAAUACCGCUGACGACCGGCGCACGGGUGAGUAACACGUAUCCAACCUUCCCAUAACUCGGGGAUAGCCUUUCGAAAGAAAGAUUAAUACCCGAUAGUACUUUUUCAAGGCAUCUUUUUUAAGUUAAAGAUUUAUUGGUUAUGGAUGGGGAUGCGUUCCAUUAGAUAGUUGGUGAGUUAACGGCUCACCAAGUCUUCGAUGGAUAGGGGUUCUGAGAGGAAGGUCCCCCACAUUGGUAAUGAGACACGGACCAAACUCCUACGGGAGGCAGCAGUGAGGAAUAUUGGUCAAUGGGCGAGCGCCUGAACCAGCCAAGUAGCGUGAAGGAUGAAGGUCCUAUGGAUUGUAAACUUCUUUUAUAGUAGAAUAAAGUGAUCCACGUGUGGAUUUUUGUAUGUAUACUAUGAAUAAGGAUCGGCUAACUCCGUGCCAGCCGCCGCGGUAAUAC
rnacentral:rRNA from 1 species